AUACAAUUUUUGCCAUUUUCUUAAGCAUGUGGUGGUAUUUUCCUAUUGGAAAAGGGAAUUGUUGUCAGUUAGCUAACUUGAUUUUGUCUGGAUGCGGCAGCUCGAUAGCAUUCAGCAUCGGAGACGAGCAGUACACCACAAAGGACGUCCUGCGGGUCGCAAACACGAGAAAUACAAACCCGAGCCUCUGGAGCAAGGUGCUUAGAAGAAAGCUCCAAGAAAUCCGUGGAGAAGACGAGGAAGAGCCGUGAGAGGAAGCCCAAGCACCAAGUCGGCCCGGAUGGAAGUUAGUUUCUACUGAUCCUAACCAGGAUUCAACAAACUAUGCAGCUCGAUGGAAAGAAGUUCCAGAAUUGUGUUUAAAUAUAAGUUUCAAGUGUAGUGACAGUGUGACGAAUAUGGUAAUGAAAAUAAAUCAUAUUUUUGAUGAAAUUCAAUUUGUUUUCUUUUUUAUUACCAGAAAUAGAAACGUAACAAAUAGUAAAAAGAAUCUAAAUAUCAUUCCGAUACUAAACACAUUUCACGUAGUUUUCAUU